rnacentral:rRNA from 1 species
GUGGGGAAUAUUGGACAAUGGGCGAAAGCCUGAUCCAGCCAUGCCGCGUGUGUGAAGAAGGUCUUCGGAUUGUAAAGCACUUUAAGUUGGGAGGAAGGGUAGUAACCUAAUACGUUGCUACUUUGACGUUACCGACAGAAUAAGCACCGGCUAACUUCGUGCCAGCAGCCGCGGUAAUACGAAGGGUGCAAGCGUUAAUCGGAAUUACUGGGCGUAAAGCGCGCGUAGGUGGUUUUGUAAGUUGGAGGUGAAAUCCCCGGGCUCAACCUGGGAACUGCCUCCAAAACUGCAUGGCUAGAGUACGGUAGAGGGUAGUGGAAUUUCCUGGGUAGCGGUGAAAUGCGUAGGUAUAGGAAGGAACACCAGUGGCGAAGGCGACUACCUGGACUGAUACUGACACUGAGGUGCGAAAGCGUGGGGAGCAAACAGGAUUAGAUACCCUAGUAGUCC